CACAGGCAAAAAAGAAGUCCUUAGAUGUUAAUUGAAGUAGGAUUUUUAGCUUCUCUUCCUGUCCACUAGAAGGCGCGAUCCUUCAUCGGAUGCUCUUUGCAAUGGCCAGCGGGUACUACAAAGCCCAGGGUUCAUUCUAAGCCAAGACUUUUUUCAGCGGAGAGCUGUGUAGGAGGUGCAGCUGCAGGGAAAGCAUUCCAUGAAGGUGACAGGAGAAUCUUCUUGUUGCAUGAACAAAACCACAAGGUGCAUCUCAGGCGGCUGUUGAUGGAACGGGAAGGCUCCCUCUCACGUGGCUGUUGGGAAGAUUUGAGUCAGGCAAACCACAGAAGCCAUAGCGUGGUCUAGCCAGUGGGUCCUGAACUUGAGUGCAGCCUCCAAGAAAGCCAGCACACAGACCCUUUGAGGAGCUCUUACAAGAAUGGGACCCCCCCAGCUGACCCUCCAACCUGCCACCUCCCUCUUCAGACGCUCGCCCACCCCAGUCUUUCCAGGCCUUCUCAUUCUUCUUCAUGAAGCCGUUUCUUUUCUUUCUUUUUUUUUUUAAUUUUAUUUAUUUAUUAUGUAUACAGCAUUCUGCUUCCAUGUAUAUCUGCACACCAGAAGAGGGCACCAGAUCUCAUAACGGAUGGUUGUGAGCCACCAUGUGGUUGCUGGGAAUUGAACUCAGGACCUCUGGAAGAGCAGCCAGUGCUCUUAACCUCUGAGCCCUCUCUCCAGCUCCGAUGACGUUUCUUUCCAGGCUGAGCUUAGUGGGUGUGCACCUGCAAUUUUCCUGUACACAGCAAAUUGGGGACCAGCCCAGCUACAUCUGACCUGUCUCAAAAACAAACAGGUAGGGGGGUGUUGAAGAUGGCUCCAUGAGCAGUCACCAAGCUGAGGACCUGAGUUUGAUUCCUGGGAUCCAUAUGGUAGAAGAGAACCAACUCCUGCAAGUUGCCCGCUGAUCCCUGCACAUGUAUGUGGCACUCAUGAGUGUGCUCUUGCACAUGUGUACAUAUAUAUACAAGAUAAAUGUUGAUUUUUUUUUUAAAUUUACUUUCCACCUAAACCCAGAGGCACCAACCCUGGGUUUUUUGGUUUUUUAUUGGGGAGGGGUGGUUUUCAAAACAGAGUUUCUCUGUAUGGCUUUGGAGGCUGUCCUGGAACUUGCUCUGUAGACCAGGCUGGCCUCGAACUCAUAGAGACCCAUCUGCCUCUGCCUCCUGAGUGUCAGGAUUAAAGGUCUAUGCCACUACUGCCCAGCCUAGAAUUUUCAUUCUUUGGGGUGGGGAGGCAUCGUGAGUGCUGGGGACAGAUUCUGGGACCUUGCACAUCCUAGGCACGUGCCCUGCCUGUCUAAGCAUGCCCCAACCUUGUUUGUUUUCAGACACUACAGGAAAGGGGCCGAAUUCUAUUGUGUGGUGACCCCUACCCAGGGGUCAGGCAGCCUUCGGCUGGGGUCUGAGACUCCACAGCUCUGUAGCACAAGCGGGGAUCAGAGCUGGGACGAGGCCAAAGGCAAAGGCAACCAGGAGAAGCAGAGUGGCUUUUCUCUGUGAAGGUCAAAUCCCAGGAGCUCAGGCUGGACUCAGCUUUUAGCUCUCAUUACUCUGAAGGUCAGAUAACAACUUAUCUUUGGCCUGGUGACAGGGAAACCAGUGUAGGUGACUUGGGUUUGGUCUGGUCCUUUGGAGCAGAACACCUCAGGCAGACCAAUGGUGUCCCUCUGUCUCCCUUGCUGGAAGGAAAGCAAUCCUGUGACAGCCAGAGCUGGGGCCUCAUCCAGGGCAUCCUCCCUCCUCCCUCCCUCCUCCCUCUCCCUCCCUCCCUCCCUCCCUCUCUCCCUAUUUCCCUCUCUCUCCCCUUCUCCUUGUGUCCUCCAGGGCCUGUAUCUUGUGAGCUUCCUUGCCUCCUCCUAGGGAGUCCUGCAGCUUGUCUUGGCCCUGAUGGCUUCUGAUGCUGGUUCCCCCUUGUCCUCUGUGGCUACACUAUCCUCUGUCUCUUAGCUGACUAACCUUCCCUAUGGCAGAGUUCUUUUUGCGACCCUUCCUCUGUUGGCGCCCAAACUCUGAGCCUCCCAAAUCACCAAGAGACCCAAUCCAAUGCAAAAACAAAGUCUUUUGUUUUCCGAGUUAACUUGGGUUCCCAGGUCCAGUCCAUUGGAAACAGGAGGGACCUCAG
ensembl:lncRNA